CUGAUGUUCUCCAAGAAUGCAAAACUUCCUAUCAGAAGAGCAGCAGUCUUGUUUGGCUCUUACCAAGUUACACGGAUCACAGUGAGCUGAGGAUGAAGGGUACUGACUGGAUAGAGGAUGAUCUGAGAAAGCUGCUGCAUGACCCCGAGCCCUCUCUGCGCAUCAUCACCACCCAGGCUCUGUUGCAAAUCCACAAGUUCGGGGCUGAGCCAGAUCCCAGGCAGACAGCUUGAGGAUUGAGGAAGCUCAUCGGUUGUCUUCCUACCUAGAAGUGCAAGGGAAGCAACAUCAGGUGGAAACUAAUCCCUUUGGAAACCACAGAAGCAGCUGGUGCUCCUUUUUUUUUUUUUUUCCAGGCAUAAAGCAAUGCCAGCAUGAAGAUACCUCCAUCCAUUUAAUUACCUCAGAAC
rnacentral:lncRNA from 1 species